rnacentral:lncRNA from 1 species
CGUAUAAGUAUAAUAAUAAUAAGGGAAAACUUCAAAAACCCCCCUGUGGUUUCACAAACUGUGGUUUAAAACGUAUCAAUUUGCCCCAUGUGGUUUCAUUUUUAUCUUUUCGGAAGCUUUUUCGUUAGCAUUUCGUUAAAUUAUAUACAAAAAACUUCAGAUAACCAUCUAUAUUUAUCGAAUAUUCACUUUAGUAUCCUUUAAUUUUAACUUUGUCACUGAUUUAAAAAAAAAAAAUAAUAAAAUUGAUAACAAAAAGAGAAAAACAAAACCACAGGGGGGCAAAUUGAUACGUUUUAAACCACAGGGUACUAAAGUCAGAAAGCACGAAACCACGGGGGGUUUUGAAGUUUUCCCUAAUAAUAAUAAUAAUAAUAAAUUAUACAAAAUUUAUCUGAAAUAUAAAUAAUAUAAUUAGGCUAUUUUUAAUUUUACUAUCAAUUUUUUUAUUUAUUUGAUUUACGGCCAACGAUACUUUAACUAUAAAAUUUAAACUAAUUAUUAUUUUAAUAAAUUUAUAAUUAUAAAAAUUAUAUAAAAUAUAUAAAUUAAAUCUGUAAAGAUAAAUAAUGCAUUCAAAUUUUAAAAUUAAAAUACUGUUGAGGGACUCGACUCAAACAAAUUGAAAUAUUUAAUAGUAAAAUUAAAAUUUUUUAAAGUUAUAUAAUUAAAUCAAAAUGGUCGAUAAUUUAGAUAAAUUUUAUAUGUUUUUACCUAAUAAUAAUAAUAAUGAUACUGAGAUAAUGUU